GAAGAACUGACGCUGGGAGCAGACUGUCUGCAGCCCUGAAUACAUGUAGGACAGGGAGAGAGAGGGAGAGAGCGAGAGCAAGAGAGAGAGAGUGAGCGAGAGCAAGACAGAGAGCGAGAGCGAGAGAGAGAGAGAGAGAGAGAGAGAGAGAGAGAGAGAGAGCAGUAGAGCUAGAUUGUGGGAGAGGGAGAGAAACAGGGAUAUGUGUUCUUCUCAAAUACAUACAUAUACACAGUGAGAGAGAGAGAAAGAAAGACUCUCUCUCCUCCUAGCACGUACCCCCCCCCACACACACACACACACAUGAACAUGAUCUCACUCACACUCUCACACACACAUACACUCACAGACGCAUGCUUGCUUUAGGGUACCAGGCGGCUUGGUGUUCUUCUCCUUUGUUGUUUUUGUCAUUCAUCAGUCUUGGUACGGUGUGCUGUGCUGUGUGAGUCUCGCUGGGUGAGGAGACUGUCUGCGUGGCUGUCUGAGAAUGCCAUCUACACUACGCCGACUCUCAAGUCAAAAUUAUUUGCAUACAGGAGGACAUGAUAAGUUUGCAGGGAGCAGUGUGAGUGUGUGAUGGGUAAAGAACGAGUGGGAUAAAAGAUAAGUAAAGAAAGAAAGAAAGAAGAAAGAAAGAAGAAAGAAAGAAAGAAAGAAAGAAAGAAAGAAAGAAAGAAAGAAAGAAAGAAAGAAAGAAAGAAAGAAAGAAAGAAAGAAAGAAAGAAAGAAAGAAAGAAAGAAAGAAAAGAGGACGGACAUACUGGAGCAUAAAAAAGUUUGGGAGAAGACUGCAUUCUGAGACUGAAAAUGAAUUUGGAAGAGUGGUGAGCUCUUUUUCUCCAGUUUAACAUCUACUAUCGUGGGCCACGGAGGAAGCAGAGGUCUGGACCAAAGAGAAAUCUCACCCCAAACCAUUUCAGUACUGCAAGGCUCCACAAGCUUCUAUCACAUCUGUGGAAUUUCCCCAUGGUGUAAUUCCCAUAAGCUGGCAGGCCAGGAGGCCGAGGAGUGCUCGUAACCACACAGAGGGGCGGGUGAGUCUCAGACUGGCUUCAGGGACCCAGGCACCGGUCUCACGAGGGGCCUUGAGGGAGGAAGUGCUGUUGUUGUCAUCUCGGCUGAGAGAGGCCUU
rnacentral:lncRNA from 1 species